rnacentral:lncRNA from 1 species
UGCUAGCCUUGGCCUCCCAAAGUGCUGGGAUUACAGACGUGAGCCACUGAGCCCGACCAAGGGAUUUCUUAAUUGUACAUUUUAAAAGAACUUAAAGAAUGUCAUUGGAUUGUUUGUAGCUGAAAGGAUAAGUGCUUCAGGGGAUGGAUAUCCCAUUCCCCAUGAUGUGCUUCUUUCACAUUGCAUGCCUGUAUCGAAACAUCUCAUGUAAGGCUGGGCACGGUGGCUCAUGCAUGUAAUUCUAGCACUUUGGGAGGCCAAGGCCAGCGGAUCACUUGAGGCCAGGAGUUCGAGACCAGCCUGCCCAACAUGGUGAAACCCCAUUUCUACUAAAAAUACAAGAAUUAGCUUUACAUGGUGGUGCACACCUGUAGUCCCAGCUACUCAGGGGGCUGAGGCAGGAGAAUUGCUUGAACCCAGGAGUCAGUGGUUGUAGUGAGCCAAGACCACAUUACUGCACUCCAGCCUCGGUGACGGAGCCAGACUCUGUUUCAUAAAAAACAAAAACAACUCAUGUACCCCAUAAAUACAUACACCUACUAUGUAUCUACAAAGAUUAAAAAUUAAAAUUAAAAAUUUUAAAAAAGAAAUCUUAUCCCACCAUGCAAAGCAAAGAACCACUCUAUUCUACAAUUACCAAGCCCAGUAUGAGACUUUAAGCAACAUCUCAUAAAACCCACUGACCGUGGGUCAAAGACCAGACCUCUAGUAGUUGCAAGAGAUAGAUAGAGCUUGUCCAGUUCAGCUAUAAAUCAAUUUUAUUUCCACAGAGGGUCACACAGCCCUUUCAAAAACAACCAUAUUGGAUCAAACACAAAAUUCGUAAAAAAUAUUCCUCCUGUUCCCCCAACCUCAAAAUAUAUGUUGAAGGUCAUAUGGCCAGGGGCAAUGCAGAUUCAAAGCCACUAUUGUGAGCUGCAUUGACUAUACCACCAUGUAAUUCAUAAUGUGUUGAAAAUCAAAUGCUCAUGAUAAAUGAUCAUUGAUUAGGGCCCCUAGUUGUGAGUGUACCUAUAUUUUUUCAUUCUAUAAAAGCAAAUAUUAAAUCAACAUGAAGAGUAAAUAAUUACCCAUAUUAUAUUGAGAGGGUGAAAUUGGUUUAUAUUCCAUAUGGAGUUCAAUUGAUCAUUAUUUUCAUCCUUGACACUUGGGUUUAUCCAUUCUCCAAACCACCACUUUGGAAGAGCAAGUUAAUAUACAAUUACUGCUAAAAAAGGUACAUACCUCCAAUUUUGUGUUGUGUUGACAAUUCCACUUGUUUGUUCUGUCCUUCUGAUUGGGAGUAUUAUUUUCCUAGGUCUGUUUUAACAAAGUUCCAUAAAUUGAGACACUGAAUGAGUCUCAAUAAAUGUGCAUUCUCACAUUUCUAGAGACCAGAAGUCUGAAAUCAAGGUGCGGUCCGAGCCACACUCCCUCUGAAGGCUCAGCCUGGCCAACAUGGUGAAACCCCAUCUCUACUAAACAUACAAAAUUUAUCUGGGCAUGGUGGUGCGCACCUGUAGUCCAAGCUACUUGGGAGACUGAGACAGGAGAAUCACUUGAACCCAGGAGGCAGAGGUUGCAGGGAACAGAUAUUGUGCCACUGCACUCCAGCCUGGAUGACUGAGCAAGACUCCAUCUCAAAAACAAAAACAAAAACAAAUACAAAAACAAAAACAAAAACAAAAACAGAGACUGAUGCUCACAGAUUGUGUAUUCCAGACCACCAAGUUAAUUCAGCAUUGGCAGUGACAUCAUGUUCUUCCAAACAGCAUCCCCUUUCUCCUUCUGGGUACUGAAUUUUUGUAAAUGGCAAAUGAAUUCCUUCAUUAAGCCACAAACAGUGACAUGACAGCUGCAAAUUCAGCCAUCUAUAAGGUUUCCAGAUAAAAGACACAACACCAAUUAAAUGUGAAUUUCAGAUAAAUACUGAAUAAUUUUUUAGUAUCCAUAUGCCCCCAGUGUGACAUGGGGCAUACUGAUACUCAAAAAUCUGUUACUUGGCCAAGUGCAGUGGCUCACACCUGGAAUCCUAGGACUUUGGGAGGCUGAGGUGGGGGGAUUGUUGAUCCCAGGAGUACAAGACCAGCCUAGGCAACAUGGUGAAACCCUGUCUCUACAAAAAUACAAAAAUUAGCUGAGCGAAAUGGUGCACACCUGUAGUCCAACUACUCAGGAGGCUGAGGUGUGGGGAUCGCCUGAGCCCGAAGAGGUAGAGGCUGCAGUGAGCCGUAAUCACACCACUGUACUCCAGCCUGGGCCACAGAGUGAGACCCUGUCUCAAAAAAUAAAAAUAAAAAAGUAGAAUAAAUAUAAUUAAAAUUUAAAACAUUUUAAAAUGUGUUAUCUGAAAUUUAAAUUUAUUACAAUUUUUAUUUGCUAAAUGUGGCCACUCCAAGUGUAUGGAGUAUUUAUUCUACCAUGCAGUUUUUAACACUUGCAUCUCUGCAUCUGCUUCUGUUCCAGGACAGAGAAAAACUAACACAUUUCUGCUGUAUCUAAGAAUAUGUAGAUAUACCUGUGUUUUGAUUCUUUCUGAUUUCAGUACUAAACAUCCCUCAUUAUCAUUCUCAGGGAAAAGAUGAAUGUAGAAUCUCUGCUGAGCUAGUAUUUCCUGACACCCUGUUUAUGUGCCUUGUGAAUUGUGGGCAUUGCCAUGUGGGUUAUUUCAUUUCAUCUUCACAAUCACCCUCCAAAAGUAAAAAACAAAGACUGCCUCACUCAAAUGUCCACUGCCAUCAGUGCCCCAUGAGUAUAUAUACGGUGCCAAGCUCUGCCAUGAUCUCUCCAGAGAAGAGGAGUAAAACCAAAGAAGUGAAGACGUGUCUGACUGGAAGGGAACAUCUGUGACACCUUCUUUUCCAAAUGUUCUUAAAGUUUAAGCAGAUUAUUGUAAAGGAAAUAUGAAAGAGUUAGUACUUAAAAAAAAACCUCCUUGUAUCAAAAUGUCCCAUUCCCAGCCUCUAUUCAAUUUCAAUCUUUUAAAUGUUUGUUUUCAUAUUUACAAUCAUGGU